UACGGGGGGAGCAAGCGUUGUUCGGAUUUACUGGGCGUAAAGGGCGCGUAGGCGGUCGACCAAGUCCGGGGUGAAAUCUUUCGGCUCAACCGGAAAAGUGCCCCCGAUACUGGCCGUCUAGAGGGAGGUAGGGGCAUGUGGAACUUCCGGUGGAGCGGUGAAAUGCGUAGAUAUCGGAAGGAACGCCGGUGGCGAAAGCGACGUGCUGGACCUCAUCUGACGCUGAGGCGCGAAAGCCAGGGGAGCAAACGGG
rnacentral:rRNA from 1 species